CUCACAGCUGGUUUUAAGUAAAACAGGUUUCUAAGCAAGUUUUAGCUUUGGUUUGGUUAUUUGUGCCCAAAGGCUUUCCCCAGUGUGCUGACCAUUUGCUUUCAAGAAUGUUUCUGUUUGUGCUAUUUCCUUUGUGGACUGAGGGUGGGGUUUAGUGUUUUUCAGAUACUCAUUCAUGCUUCCUUUUCCUUUCUUUAAAUUGCACUCGUCUGUCAUGUCCAUCAAUCUGUUGCCUUGCAUGCCACAAAGGUAAUAAACUUCUGUGCCCAUAAAUGCUUCAGUCCGUGACUUCUCUCACAUAAAUAUGCUCAUUAACUUUUCUACAGGAUGACUUGCAUGAGGAAGAUGACAUGUGCUCACUGGUGUCAGAUCCCUGGAUCUGGCCUUUCUGAGUUGCUUCUGUUUUGUAAAAGAUUAAGUCUACCCACAAAGGACAGUUGGUGAGGACUCCUUCACACAGCCAUCGUAUUUGUUUCUGCUGCAGUUAGAUACAUACAGAAAUAUCCAGCUUUUAUUAUAAUUAUAUAUUUUUUUAUAUUUUUUACUUUGAAAAUUAAUAGAAGACAUUAUGGCCCUUCCCAGCCUCACAGGCUCCAGUUGUGUUUCCCUUUCCUGACUUUCCAUCAACCUUCUACCUUAAGCAUUCUGUCUCUCUGAAGCUAAAUUGUUGGACUUCAUCUUCUGGUAAAAUGUAUAUAAAAUUUAGCUUUAUUUAGAGAAAAAUCUCUA
rnacentral:lncRNA from 1 species